CCGCACACGAGGCUCCUGCCCAGAAUAGUUUCAUAGAAUCAGACUGUGUGGUUAUAUUUCAUGGGUUUCAAAUAUAACAAAAUGACCAGAAUAACUGUUCGUGGGAAAGCUAGCCGUGUCCCCCUUGUUCCCCUUGUUCAGGAGUUAGUUUCACCGAACACUGCCUCUUUUGGAUGCAUUGGAACGAAACUAGGUGAUCCUGGAAGUCUCGGUGUUCGGGCCGUUGAGUUUCCAAAAUAGUUCCAUACACUCGACGACCAAACACCGCUGGACGCGUUCGACAAAACAAGAUGGCCGCCACCACGUGUUUCUGCA